UUGUAGAACAAAUCCUGCGUCUUGCAA
rnacentral:piRNA from 1 species